rnacentral:rRNA from 1 species
GAUCAUGGCUCAGGAUGAACGCUAGCUACAGGCUUAACACAUGCAAGUCGAGGGGAAACGAUAUUGGAAGCUUGCUUCCGAUAGGCGUCGACCGGCGCACGGGUGAGUAACGCGUAUCCAACCUGCCCACCACUUGGGGGAUAACCUUGCGAAAGUAAGACUAAUACCCAAUGAUAUCUCUAGAAGACAUCUGAAAGAGAUUAAGGAUUCAUCGGUGAUGGAUGGGGAUGCGU